rnacentral:rRNA from 1 species
CCUACGGGUGGCUGCAGUGAGGAAUAUUGGUCAAUGGGCGCGAGCCUGAACCAGCCAAGUAGCGUGAAGGAUGACUGCCCUACGGGUUGUAAACUUCUUUUAUAAAGGAAUAAAGUGAGGCACGUGUGCCUUUUGUAUGUACUUUAUGAAAAAGGAUCGGCUAACUCCGUGCCAGCAGCCGCGGUAAUACCGAGGAGACGAGCGUUAUCCGGAUUUAUUGGGUUUAAAGGGAGCGUAGAUGGGUUGUUAAGUCAGUUGUGAAAGUUUGCGGGUCAACCGUAAAAUUGCAAUUGAUAAUGGCAGUCUUGAGUACAGUUGAGGUAGGCGGAAUUCGUGGUGUAGCGGUGAAAUGCUUAGAUAUCACGAAGAACUACGAUUGCGAAGGCAGCUUACUAAACUGCCACUGACAUUGAUGCUCGAAAGUGUGGGUAUCAAACAGGAGUAGAUACCCUGUAGUC